rnacentral:rRNA from 1 species
UACAGAGGUCUCAAGCGUUGUUCGGAUUCAUUGGGCGUAAAGGGUGCGUAGGCGGCGCGGUAAGUCGGGUGUGAAAUCUUGGAGCUCAACUCCGAAAUUGCACUGGAUACUGCUCUGCUAGAGGGCUGGAGAGGAGAUCGGAAUUCACGGUGUAGCAGUGAAAUGCGUAGAUAUCGUGAGGAAGACCAGUGGCGAAGGCGGAGUCUCUGGACAGCUCCUGACGGCUGAGGCGCGAAGGCUAGGGGAGCAAACGGG